UACUCUGUCGACACAGAUGAGUUCUGUAAUGAUUAGUAGAUUUGUUUUGGCAAGAGUGAAUAUCCUUGACAUUUGGCCGAGUGGGACGGGAAUCAGACACUCAGUUCUUCCAUCUCCAAGGGUAAUGAAAUUAAGAAUUGUAUGUGUUGUAAUACUAUGAGGCACUAGAGGGCGUUCGUAAGACACAGCUGGAUUGUAUAUCAGGUGAGUACUAGUUGCCUGAACAAGUAGUUCAGUUUGGGCAGAGGGGACGCAUGUUUCUUUGUGGCUGAACUGUUGGUUUACAGAGUCCUAGUUGGGAAACCUUUGGUUUUAAGCUCAACAUAAGGACUUUUUUAUUUUUCCUCUAAUUUAACUUCCUAAUGUGUGUUUUGGAUACACGUCUGAUUGGAACUGUGUUCAAUCGAAUAUUGUUUGGAGUGGAAAUGCCUUUGUUUUGGACUCCUCUGUGGAGGCUCAUUCUUCUGUCAGUCGGAGUUCUGAACUCUAAAGCAGAGCAACGUAUUUCAACGCACUCAAUGUUUUUCUUUGGAAAGAAUAACUAAUUUUUGCCACGGAAUGGAUCAUCAUUUCUCAGAUAAGAACUCUUAAGACGAUUUCUUUGGUGUAAAAUCAAGGUCAAGAUUUCUAUAUUUGUUUAAUUAAAAAAUUUUCCCCCCCUUUUCUAUUCUCUCUCUCUCUCUCUCUCUCUCUCUAUAAUAUAAUAUAAUAUAAUACAUUUUUCACUUGAACAUAUUUUUCAUUGGGGGAAUAAACGCAACAAUAAGACAAAAGAAAGACUAUUUGCUGAAGUUCACAUAUUGCUUUAUUUGAUCUUAGUGAAAAAUCCUCACUUGUGGCUAAUCUAAAGAAAGAAAGAAAGAGAAGUUACUCAGGGUUUCAGUGCUCCUUCAUGCUGUCAGAUAGUCCAGCUGGCACUCUACCAGUGCAGGCACGGCUGUGGAGGAGCUGUCAAAUGGCUCUGGUAUACAGUUUCAAGACAUCUGCAAGUUGAGCGUAUUUAUAAAAAGGUCAAAGUCAUAUUAAUGAAGAUGAUUUGUGAUGUGACAAGGAAUGCAAUCCAAAUACACAGCCUUACAAAAAAAAAAAAAACUUAUGUUUCCAACUUAUGUUUUGCAUCAGUCAGCUCAACUACAUUUUUACAAUAUAUUUCAUUAAUUUCAACUAAAUAAACAUCAACACAACAAAAUGUUUCAUACACAGUUUCAUAAAAAUGUGUUGCUUACCUUUUUAUGAAGUCCAGGGUAAAAAAAACUUUAAAAAAAGGUAAAAAAAAAAAGUUUGUUAACAUGGGGAUUCGCAUUUUAAUGGUAAACAACAAAUGCAACCAAAACACAAUCAGCUCCUCACGUGCUGCUCAGGCUUGUGGUGUGAAACCGGCCUUAAAGCAGUCUGGAAAUUAAUGAGAUAAUUCUAUGAUUAAUUAAAAAUGUAUUAUGCAUUAGUGAUGAACAUCUGCUGUAGAGCUGCACAAUUAAUUGUUAAAAGAUCGCAAUCUCGAUUCAGACAGCCACGCAAUCUUAUUUCUAAAUAGAUGAUUAUCCUGUGUCCAUUAAACCUUUGAAAAGUCAAUCCUGAACACUGAAACCUGCCGCUGACAGAGAGAGAGCCGUUAUCAUGUUUAGAUAUGAAACGGCUUCACAAACAGUCUUUUCAACCACACAGUAUUAUUUCUGUCUUACAAUCAUAUUACUACAGAAGUACUUGAAUAAAAGUUUAUAGUUCGGAUAUAAACACUUUUGUCUAUAGUAGUGAUCAAAAUAGAGCAAAUUAACAUCUUUUGAAAGUACUUGGCACUUCAAAUAACAUUUGUGUCAAUUACAUUGUUUUUCUCUAGGCGGCGAAAAGUGACUGUUAAAAAAAUAUAUUUGUCACUGAAUAAUUCAUUCGAUAGAUUUGUUAAACAUGUUGAUUCAUCCAGUAAAAACAAGUGAAGUAUUUAUGAGUGAGUCAUUGAUUCAUUCAUUUAACCCAUAUAAAAAAUAAUAAUUCAUAUUAAUUAAACAUUUUUAAAUGGACUGCAGCAAUUAUUAUUUUGUCACAGCCUCUAGGUAAUUACAUUUUCUUUAGUUCAAAAUCUUAGGAGAACUGUGAUCUCUAUUUAAGACAAAAAAAUUGUGAUUCCCAAUUUAUCCCGAAUCGUGCAGCUCUGAUCUGCUGUUAAAAAGCAGAAUCACUGAAGAAAAGAGAAACACAACUAACUUCCAGCCACAGCCUUUGAUGAAAUCUACUGAUGAUAAAAGAAGUCAUUAAAUCUCUCAAGAUCUGAUUAAACAACUCCUAAAACAGCAUUAACAGCUUUAAUUAUUACGAACCAGAUUGACUUAAUUUCUGUCAGAUAUCUACAGAAUCUCUUAUUGAAUAUUAAAAGAGGUUUAGAUGUUGGUUUUAUUGUUUUGUUGGACACUACAAUGAUGGAGAUCAGUAUACACAAAACACAUUUUUUGUGGCAAAAAAAAAAGAAAGAAGGAAGGAAGAAAAAAAAGAGCAACAAGAAAAAAUGUUAUCGUGUUAUUGGUUAUGUUUUGAUAAUGACAUAAUGAUCAUGUAAUGAUUGUUUCAUUGAUUUCAUCCAGUGUUUAAUCUCUUACCAAAAUUGUGUUGUAAUUGUUACGCUUUGUGUCUUUGGUAUUUGCUGUGUUGUGUCGUGUGUUUUUUCUCCUCCCUCUUGUUCUUUCUGGUCUCCUAUAGGUUGUCCAAUGAUGGGGUGUAUAUUCGUCAUUGGCGGUUCAGACGAGGGGGGACCUUUAUAAGGACGCUGCCGGCAUUCAACGGGGAGCUCAUCGUUGGUUCGGUCGCGUCUGGGUUGAGAGCUUCUGGAUCCCUUCUCCGGCCGAUGAUCAAACUUGUUGAACUUAAGUGAACUGUGAAGACUGUUGACCACGACCAUCUGUUCUAAAACAUUUUGUUAUAAAAAUGUGGAGCGUAGGGGUGUCCUGCCUAUUUAUUUUGAUUGGUUUGUUUGGGUUUUGUUUUUCGUUAGGUAGUUAGGGAAGUAAAAUGUAUUUUUAUUUUUAACUCAAUCAGGUUAUUUAAUACUUCCUCUCUUUUCUUUCUAGAUUGGUUUUGUUUGUUAUUUUGGCCUUUGGACACCCCGAAGAGAUACUCUCUAUUUUCACUUGAUGUUUAUUUUAAAUAAACCUAAUCACCUUA